rnacentral:rRNA from 1 species
AGAUCUAAGACGAUGACGGGUAGCCGGCCUGAGAGGGCGACCGGCCACACUGGGACUGAGACACGGCCCAGACUCCUACGGGAGGCAGCAGUGGGGAAUAUUGCACAAUGGGCGAAAGCCUGAUGCAGCGACGCCGCGUGAGGGAUGACGGCCUUCGGGUUGUAAACCUCUUUCAGUAGGGAAGAAGCGAAAGUGACGGUACCUGCAGAAGAAGCGCCGGCUAACUACGUGCCAGCAGCCGCGGUAAUACGUAGGGCGCAAGCGUUGUCCGGAAUUAUUGGGCGUAAAGAGCUCGUAGGUGGCUUGUCGCGUCUGCCGUGAAAACCCGAGGCUCAACCUCGGGCGUGCGGUGGGUACGGGCAGGCUAGAGUGUGGUAGGGGAGACUGGAACUCCUGGUGUAGCGGUGAAAUGCGCAGAUAUCAGGAAGAACACCGAUGGCGAAGGCAGGUCUCUGGGCCAUUACUGACACUGAGGAGCGAAAGCAUGGGUAGCGAACAGGAUUAGAUACCCUGGUAGUCCAUGCCGUAAACGUUGGGCACUAGAUGUGGGGGACAUUCCACGUUUUCCGCGUCGUAGCUAACGCAUUAAGUGCCCCGCCUGGGGGAGUACGGACAACAAGCUGAUAGGCCGCGA